AAAUGGUGUCAUAUUGAUGGUAGAAUGAUGGCUGGUAUUGUACUAGAAUUUGGCAAGAGGAAGCCAAUCAGCCCAUUGAUUAGGAGAGUGCCCAAUAGCACUUCAAAGACACAUUUCAAGGCAACGAUUAACAACCUCACUCUGCCUGUCCGUUUGUGGAUGAUAGGCAGUAGAAUGCUGCAGACCCACCCCAUGAAUAGCAAAUAAUUCUCUCCAAAAUCUACUAGGAAAAAUCGGGUUUCUAUCCGAUGUAAUAGUAUGAGGCAUACCAUGAAGUUUAAACACUCCAUCCAUAAACACUUUGGCUACUGCUUGAGCUGUGUAAGGAUGUGCUGAUGCAAAGAAGUGGGCAAAUUUAGUAAGGCAAUCCACCACAACAAAAAUUACAGAUUUGCCAUGAGAACGUGGUAAUCCAUCAGCAAAAUCCAUUGUAAGAUCAAUGAAGAUGCCCGUAGGUAAUACCAAUGGCAAAAGAGUGAAACAGGUGCAACAAUUUAUCUUGAAGGCCAACAUCAUUUCCCACCAACAACUUCCCAUUACAGUGCAAUUGAUUCAAGUGAUAUGUGUAAUGAGGAUGAGACAAAGGGUAAUCCUGAAUUUCUUUGAUCAAUU
rnacentral:misc_RNA from 1 species